CCUACGGGAGGCAGCAGUGAGGAAUAUUGGUCAAUGGACGGAAGUCUGAACCAGCCAUGCCGCGUGCAGGAAGACGGCUCUAUGAGUUGUAAACUGCUUUUGUACAAGGGUAAACCUGAAUACGUGUAUUCAGCUGAAAGUACUGUACGAAUAAGGAUCGGCUAACUCCGUGCCAGCAGCCGCGGUAAUACGGAGGAUCCAAGCGUUAUCCGGAUGUAUUGGGUUUAAAGGGUGCGUAGGCGGAUUGAUAAGUUAGAGGUGAAAUGUCCGAGCUUAACUCGGGAACUGCCGCUCAGAAGGUUGUUCUUGAGAGUAGCUGCGGUAGGCGGAAUGUCUGGUGUAGCGGUGCAAUGCUUAGAGAUCAUCC
rnacentral:rRNA from 1 species